rnacentral:rRNA from 1 species
CCUACGGGGGGCAGCAGUGGGGAAUAUUGGACAAUGGGCGAAAGCCUGAUCCAGCCAUGCCGCGUGUGUGAAGAAGGCCUUCGGGUUGUAAAGCACUUUCAGUGGGGAAGAAAGCCUUGGGGCUAAUACCCUCGAGGAAGGACAUCACCCACAGAAGAAGCACCGGCUAACUCCGUGCCAGCAGCCGCGGUAAUACGGAGGGUGCGAGCGUUAAUCGGAAUUACUGGGCGUAAAGCGCGCGUAGGCGGUCUGAUAAGCCGGUUGUUAAAGCCCCGGGCUCAACCUGGGAACGGCAUCCGGAACUGUCAGGCUAGAGUGCAGGAGAGGAAGGUAGAAUUCCCGGUGUAGCGGUGAAAUGCGUAGAGAUCGGGAGGAAUACCAGUGGCGAAGGCGGCCUUCUGGACUGACACUGACGCUGAGGUGCGAAAGCGUGGGUAGCAAACAGGAUUACAUACCCCUGUAGC